AGUGGCGAACGGGUGAGUAACGCGUGGGUAACCUGCCUCAUGGAAAGGAAUAGCCUCGGGAAACUGGGAGUAAAGCCUUAUAUUAUUGAGUUGUCGCAUGGCAAUUCGAUGAAAACUCCGGUGCCAUGAGAUGGACCCGCGUCCCAUUAGCUAGUUGGUGAGAUAACAGCCCACCAAGGCAACGAUGGGUAACCGGUCUGAGAGGGCGAACGGUCACACUGGAACUGAGACACGGUCCAGACUCCUACGGGAGGCAGCAGUGGGGAAUAUUGCGCAAUGGGGGCAACCCUGACGCAGCAAUACCGCGUGAGUGAAGAAGGUUUUCGGAUCGUAAAACUCUUUUAUUGGGGAAGAAGAAGUGACGGUACCCAAUGAAGAAGUCCCGGCUAACUACGUGCCAGCAGCCGCGGUAAUACGUAGGGGACAAGCGUUGUCCGGAAUCACUGGGCGUAAAGGGCGCGUAGGCGGUUUUAUAAGUCAGAUGUGAAAGGUACCGGCUCAACCGGUGACGUGCAUUUGAAACUGUAAGACUUGAGUACUGGAGAGGCAAGUGGAAUUCCUAGUGUAGCGGUGAAAUGCGUAGAUAUUAGGAGGAACACCGGUGGCGAAGGCGGCUUGCUGGACAGAUACUGACGCUGAGGUGCGAAAGCGUGGGGAGCGAACAGGAUUAGAUACCCUGGUAGUCCACGCC
rnacentral:rRNA from 1 species